AUGUGCUUCCUUAGUUCCUGCUGUCAUCUGCCCGCGCCGGUGGCCGGGCUGUGCGGACGGAAGAAGAAGGGCUGUGGCACCAAGGUGGCCGCGUUCGCCUGCAAGACCGCCACCAACUUCGCCGUCUCCCUUCUCAGCGUCUUCCUCGUCUGGCUCAUCCUCUUCCGCCCCUACCAGAUUCGCCCCACCGCCACUGCCGCCGUCCUAACCACCUUCAACAAUGUCACUGCCGACACGCUCCGCUACGACCUUGCCCUCGAUCUCACUUUCUCCAACUCCCACCAUUUCUACAGCAUCCGCUUCGACCACCUUACCGUGGCUGCCUACUACAACGGUACCAAGCUUGGCGGCUCCUCCUCUUCCGAUGGCGACGACGAGCUCCCAAGCAGCUUCAAGCUGAGGCCUCGCCGGCACCGGACCAUCCAUCCGGUGCUCAGCGGCCGGGCGAUCAAUGUGGGCGGCGCUGUGGCAGACGAGUUCUCCAGGGAGGGAAAGCGAGGGCGGUUCACCAUGGAGGUUGUGGUGAAGACCACGCUCACCUACAAGUUCUGGCCCAACAAGGCCGUCUACUACCACGAGUACAGCUGCCUGCUCACGUUCCCUGACCCGGCCAAGGCCGACGGCGGCGCGCAUGGGGUCGACGGCGAUGUCAGGUGCGCCGUCGCCAAAUGA
rnacentral:rRNA from 1 species